rnacentral:rRNA from 1 species
GAUGAACGCUGGCGGCGUGCCUAAUACAUGCAAGUCGAGCGAACAGACGAGGAGCUUGCUCCUCUGACGUUAGCGGCGGACGGGUGAGUAACACGUGGAUAACCUCCUAUAAGACUGGGAUAACUUCGGGAAACCGGAGCUAAUACCGGAUAAUAUAUUGAACCGCAUGGUUCAAUAGUGAAAGACGGUUUUGCUGUCACUUAUAGAUGGAUCCGCGCCGCAUUAGCUAGUUGGUAAGGUAACGGCUUACCAAGGCAACGAUGCGUAGCCGACCUGAGAGGGUGAUCGGCCACACUGGAACUGAGACACGGUCCAGACUCCUACGGGAGGCAGCAGUAGGGAAUCUUCCGCAAUGGGCGAAAGCCUGACGGAGCAACGCCGCGUGAGUGAUGAAGGUCUUCGGAUCGUAAAACUCUGUUAUUAGGGAAGAACAAAUGUGUAAGUAACUAUGCACGUCUUGACGGUACCUAAUCAGAAAGCCACGGCUAACUACGUG